rnacentral:rRNA from 1 species
GACGAACGCUGGCGGCGUGCUUAACACAUGCAAGUCGAACGGUAAGGCCCUUCGGGGUACACGAGUGGCGAACGGGUGAGUAACACGUGGGUAAUCUGCCCUGCACAUCGGGAUAAGCCUGGGAAACUGGGUCUAAUACCGAAGAGGACCACAUGACACAUGUCCUGUGGGGGAAAGCUUUUGCGGGGUGGGAUGGGCCCGCGGCCUAUCAGCUUGUUGGUGGGGUGUUGGCCUACCAAGGCGACGACGGGUAGCCGGCCUGAGAGGGUGUCCGGCAACACUGGGACUGAGAUACGGCCCAGACUCGUACGGGAGGCAGCAGUGGGGACUAUUGCCCAAUGGGCGAAAGCCUGAUGCAGCGACGCCGCGUGGGGGAUGCCGGCCUUCGGGUUGUAAACCUCUUUAACCAUCGACGAAGGUCCGGGUUUUCUCGGGCUGACGGUAGGUGGAGAAGAAGCACCGGCCAACUACGUG